GACGAACGCUGGCGGCGUGCCUAAUACAUGCAAGUUGAGCGCUGAAGGUUGGUCCUUGUACCAACUGGAUGAGCAGCGAACGGGUGAGUAACGCGUGGGGAAUCUGCCUUUGAGCGGGGGACAACAUUUGGAAACGAAUGCUAAUACCGCAUAAAAACUUUAAACACAAGUUUUAAGUUUGAAAGAUGCAAUUGCAUCACUCAAAGAUGAUCCCGCGUUGUAUUAGCUAGUUGGUGAGGUAAAGGCUCACCAAGGCGAUGAUACAUAGCCGACCUGAGAGGGUGAUCGGCCACAUUGGGACUGAGACACGGCCCAAACUCCUACGGGAGGCAGCAGUAGGGAAUCUUCGGCAAUGGACGAAAGUCUGACCGAGCAACGCCGCGUGAGUGAAGAAGGUUGUCGGAUCGUAAAACUCUGUUGGUAGAGAAGAACGUUGGUGAGAGUGGAAAGCUCAUCAAGUGACGGUAACUACCCAGAAAGGGACGGCUAACUACGUG
rnacentral:rRNA from 1 species